rnacentral:rRNA from 2 species
GAGUGGCGAACUGGUGAGUAACACGUGGGAAACCUGCCCAGAAGCGGGGGAUAACACCUGGAAACAGAUGCUAAUACCGCAUAACAACUUGGACCGCAUGGUCCGAGCUUGAAAGAUGGCUUCGGCUAUCACUUUUGGAUGGUCCCGCGGCGUAUUAGCUAGAUGGUGGGGUAACGGCUCACCAUGGCAAUGAUACGUAGCCGACCUGAGAGGGUAAUCGGCCACAUUGGGACUGAGACACGGCCCAAACUCCUACGGGAGGCAGCAGUAGGGAAUCUUCCACAAUGGACGAAAGUCUGAUGGAGCAACGCCGCGUGAGUGAAGAAGGGUUUCGGCUCGUAAAACUCUGUUGUUAAAGAAGAACAUAUCUGAGAGUAACUGUUCAGGUAUUGACGGUAUUUAACCAGAAAGCCACGGCUAACUACGUGCCAGCAGCCGCGGUAAUACGUAGGUGGCAAGCGUUGUCCGGAUUUAUUGGGCGUAAAGCGAGCGCAGGCGGUUUUUUAAGUCUGAUGUGAAAGCCUUCGGCUCAACCGAAGAAGUGCAUCGGAAACUGGGAAACUUGAGUGCAGAAGAGGACAGUGGAACUCCAUGUGUAGCGGUGAAAUGCGUAGAUAUAUGGAAGAACACCAGUGGCGAAGGCGGCUGUCUGGUCUGUAACUGACGCUGAGGCUCGAAAGUAUGGGUAGCAAACAGGAUUAGAUACCCUGGUAGUCCAUACCGUAAACGAUGAAUGCUAAGUGUUGGAGGGUUUCCGCCCUUCAGUGCUGCAGCUAACGCAUUAAGCAUUCCGCCUGGGGAGUACGGCCGCAAGGCUGAAACUCAAAGGAAUUGACGGGGGCCCGCACAAGCGGUGGAGCAUGUGGUUUAAUUCGAAGCUACGCGAAGAACCUUACCAGGUCUUGACAUACUAUGCAAAUCUAAGAGAUUAGACGUUCCCUUCGGGGACAUGGAUACAGGUGGUGCAUGGUUGUCGUCAGCUCGUGUCGUGAGAUGUUGGGGUUAAGUCCCGCAACGAGCGCAACCCUUAUUAUCAGUUGCCAGCAUUAAGUUGGGCACUCUGGUGAGACUGCCGGUGACAAACCGGAGGAAGGUGGGGAUGACGUCAAAUCAUCAUGCCCCUUAUGACCUGGGCUACACACGUGCUACAAUGGAUGGUACAACGAGUUGCGAACUCGCGAGAGUAAGCUAAUCUCUUAAAGCCAUUCUCAGUUCGGAUUGUAGGCUGCAACUCGCCUACAUGAAGUCGGAAUCGCUAGUAAUCGCGGAUCAGCAUGCCGCGGUGAAUACGUUCCCGGGCCUUGUACACA